ensembl:lncRNA
CGUAACCUCAGAAGUUCCUCUUUAGAGGGAGUGACUUUUUAGAGGGAAGUCCCAGUAAAUGGUGGAUUGAGGAUGAAAAAUCCAAUGGCCAUACUUUCUCAUAUUUGGAGAUCCAACAGCCCAGUGAGCGUCUCUCAUGUGUGGAGGAAGCCCUUCAAUGCAGAGUGAGGCUCGAGGUGUGGAUGCAAAUGAAGACUCAGGACACCUGGCUCCUCUUCCUGGAUCUGUCACUCUCUGGCAACUCUGACCCAAUCUCUGAGGCCCAGGGUCCUCAUAUGCAAGUGAUGAGUUGUACCAAACUCUUUCUAAAGUGCCUACCAUUUCUAAGAUUUUACAAACAUUGAUUUAAAGAAUAGUGGUUAAGAGUGUGGGGUCUCAAGUCCUUAUCUUGGGCUUAAAUCCCAAUUCUUCCACUUACCAUCUGUGUCACCUUGGGUGAAAAUGGUGGUCCUGAUCUCCUAAGGUUAUAUGAGGAUUAAAUGGGGCAAUAUGUGUAUAGUGACUAGGAAAGUGCCUGGCACAUGUAGGGCUCAAUCAGCAUUUAAUUCUAUUAUACAUAAAACAACUACCCUUUAUUGCAUGUUCAUUAGAUGCUAGAGAGCUCAGAAACCCAAAGCCAUAAGACUAGCAAGUUGUAGAACAACAUUUCAACCACAGGUAUGGCUGACUGCAAAUACCUUGUAUUUUAAGUAUGCAUACCAUAAAGUGUAGCUUAUUGACAAAUUCUAGGAAAUGGUUGUACAUAACAUAUCUGAAUCUUUAGAAUCAUAGAAUUAUUUGAAGAUAAUAAGUUUGAACUCCUGAGUUUGUUAUUGCAUUCGCAUACUUUUUUGGUGUCCCUCUUGGGCAAGCUUUCUAUUCUUCAUUUUUCUUUGGCAGCAAGAGCCACUUGUUUUGGUUUUAGUUCCAUUUCUGUGAAACAGUCUGAAUCCCACAGUCCAACACUCCCUUCUAGGAUUUUCCCAGGGGCACAUACAGGAGAAGUAUAUGAUUUGUGUCCUUUUAUUAGCCAAGCAGUUCAGACAUGAGUAAUUUCCAAGUUAACCUUUUAUUUACUAGUGGGGUAAUUUCUUUACUGUUCUCUUUUAUUCAUUUAUUUUUAUGACCUGGACAAGGGAGAUACCCAGAAAGACAAGAGGGUAAGUGACCCUGAGACAGACGAAAGGAAAAGAAAGUAAAGGAUCUACUGGGGCAAAACCAGGGCAGCAAAGAAGAUGGACCAUAAUGUGAGUGAUAUGGGAUGAUUCAAGAGAAAAUACAGAAAAGGCAAUGAACUACAACCAUUUUUUUUUAAUUCUCUAAAUGAUGGAGAGUUAUAGACCCUGGAAUAUUUACCCUAAAGUCAAAAUACUGCGAGUUGGAAAGGAAGAAGAGGUGGCUUUAAUCGUCCAAAUAAAAUAAGACAACCAUUGUGUACAAGGUGUAUGAGAUAAACACCACCAUCCCUACAGUCCUCCUUAGUGUGGAAACAUAUAUGAAAACAUUUGUUUCACAGUGUGCAAUACUGCUGGUUAAGUAUUAGGUAUCUUGGGAUAGUGAUGAUGGUAUCAAAGCCAUGGGAGUAAGGGAAAUCUCAAGAAAUAUGACUUAGGGGAUACUAUAGACCCUUUCUUUGCUUCUUUGUUUUUAUAUUCUGCCUGCCUUCCAUCUUUCCUUUCUACUUUCCUUCCUUCCUUUCUUCCUUCGUUCCUUCCUUCCUCCCUUCCUUCCUUUUUCUUUCUCAGUGGGUUUUACCUAGUGCCAUGGGUCUUCAGAGCUAAGUUAGCUCUUCAGGCACUCAGGAACAGAUCCUGGCUCUAGGAAGGAGCUUUUCCAGUAAAGAAAUAUGACUGGUUAUCAGUUGAACUCUUAAAAUUUUAAAUCACACUACUACCUAAGAAUACAUUUGACAAAACUCAUUGUUUUCCUCUUGUUUAACCAAUCAUGUUUAGAAAUGGAUUUGGAACAGUAUUAUGACAUUUAAAUAUAUAUUGUUGUCAAAUAUUGUUUGUUAAGUGUUAUGCAAU